UACAGAGGGGGCGAGCGUUGUUCGGAAUUACUGGGCGUAAAGGGCGCGUAGGCGGCCACCUCAGUCGGACGUGAAAUCCCCGGGCUCAACCCGGGAACUGCGUCCGAUACUGGGUGGCUAGAGUCCGGGAGAGGGAAGUGGAAUUCCAGGUGUAGCGGUGAAAUGCGUAGAUAUCUGGAGGAACACCGGUGGCGAAGGCGGCUUCCUGGACCGGUACUGACGCUGAGGCGCGAAAGCCAGGGGAGCAAAC
rnacentral:rRNA from 1 species